UCUUCUACGCGAACUCUUCUAUCUUCUUUAUCACGUUUUGGCUGGCAACUUAGACUUACAGGCAGAAAAAGAAAGAGAGAUAGAAAAAACCUUUUUUUCUUUUAGAAAAUUCCAUUGUUUGUUAUUAGUUUCCUACUAUUUAAUUCUGAAAAUUCAGAGCUAAUCGAAACCCUAAAAAAGAUAUAAUGAGUGGCAACGAAUUUCGAUUCUUCUUGUCUUGCGAUAUCAACCUUCCCGUUACCUUUCGCGUCGACAGAUUGGAGGGGACUUUGCCUUCCCCAAAUUCUCCUAAUUCAGGGACCGAUUCCACUACAGAGGAGAGGAAAGGUGAACUCUAUGUGGAGUGUGCAUUGUACAUUGACGGUGCUCCGUUUGGUCUUCCAACAAAAACAAGGUUGGAGUCUGCAGGACCGUUGUAUUGUUGGAAUGAACUAAUAACAUUGAGUACUAAAUAUCGAGACUUGACUGCACACUCACAACUUGCUUUGACAGUCUGGGAUCUGUCAUGCGGAAAAGAUGAUGGGCUAAUUGGUGGCGCUACGAUUCUUCUAUUCAACAACAAAAUGCAACUCAAAACAGGGAAACAGAAGCUUAGACUCUGGUUAGGGAAACAAGCAGAUGGAUCGUUUCCAACAAGUACUCCUGGAAAGGUCCCCAGGCAAGAGCGUGGAGAAUUGGAGCGUCUAGAAAAGCUUGCAAAUAAGUAUGAAAGGGGACAGAUUCAACCUGUUGAUUGGCUAGAUCGACUCACAUUCAAGGCUAUGGAAAAAAUCAAGGAUAGGGAAAGCUUGAAAAAUGGAAGUUCCCAUUUAUACUUAGUUGUUGACUUCUGUAGUUUUGAACAUCGAGUUGUUUUUCAGGAAUCAGGGGCCAAUUUCUUAUUACCAUCUCCAAUAGCUUCAUCAAAUGAACUGGUCACUGUGUGGGACCCUGAAGUGGGAAAGAUAAACCCUUCUGAGCACAAGCAAUUGAAGCUUGCAAGGAGUUUAACUCGUGGUAUUAUUGACAGGGACCUCAAGCCUAGCUCUAAUGAACGAAAGUCAAUACAAAGAAUUUUGAAAUAUCCUCCUACAAGGGCCUUGAGUGGAGAUGAGAGGCAGCUUCUUUGGAAAUUUCGCUUCUCAUUGAUGUCUGAGAAGAGGGCCCUCACAAAAUUUCUUCGAUGUGUUGAAUGGAGUGAUGUUCAGGAAGCAAAGCAGGCAAUUGAGCUUAUGGGCAAGUGGGAAAUGAUUGAUGUCUGUGAUGCAUUGGAGCUUCUAUCUCCACUUUUUGAGAGUGAAGAGGUUCGUGCAUAUGCUGUUAGUGUUCUUGAAAGGGCUGAUGAUGAAGAACUUCAAUGUUACUUGCUUCAACUAGUUCAGGCACUUCGAUUUGAACGAACUGAUAAAUCUCGCCUUUCUCAGUUCCUUGUGCAACGUUCUUUACGUAAUAUUGAAUUGGCUAGUUUUCUACGGUGGUUUGUUGCUGUGGAACUUCAUGAUCCUGCCUAUGCAAAACGGUUUUAUUCUACCUACGAGUUCCUAGAAGAAAAUAUGAUUAAGCUGACAGCUGGUGUAAAUGGAGAAGAGGAUGGAUUUAAGAUGUGGCAGAGCUUGGUUCGUCAGACAGAACUGACAGCCCAGUUGUGUUCUAUAAUGAGAGACGUGAGAAAUGUGCGUGGCAAUACUCAAAAGAAGAUUGAAAAGCUUAGACAGCUCCUUUCUGGUCUUCUUAGUGAACUUACUUAUUUUGAUGAGCCAAUUCGUUCACCCUUGGCUCCUAGUGUCCUUAUCACUGGAAUUGUACCUUCGGAGUCGUCAAUAUUCAAAAGUGCAUUACAUCCUUUGCGACUAACUUUCCGAACAGCCAAUGGUGGACAAAGUAAGGUCAUAUUUAAAAAGGGUGAUGAUAUUCGGCAAGAUCAAUUGGUUGUCCAAAUGGUGUCACUUAUGGAUAGAUUACUAAAGUUAGAAAAUCUUGAUCUUCACUUAACUCCAUAUAAGGUGCUGGCAACUGGACAAGAUGAGGGCAUGCUCGAAUUCAUACCAUCCCGUUCUUUGGCACAGAUUCUUUCAGAUCAUCGUAGCAUUAUAAGCUAUCUACAGAAAUUUCAUCCUGAUGAACACGGACCGUUUGGGAUUACAGCCACUUGUCUUGAAACCUUCAUAAAAAGUUGUGCUGGCUACUCUGUUAUCACAUAUAUUCUUGGAAUUGGAGACAGACAUCUUGACAACCUUCUGCUUAGGGAUGAUGGACGCCUUUUCCAUGUUGAUUUUGGUUUUAUUCUUGGCCGAGAUCCUAAGCCAUUUCCACCACCAAUGAAACUUUGCAAAGAAAUGGUUGAAGCUAUGGGUGGAGCAGAGAGCCAAUAUUAUACAAGGUUCAAAUCCUAUUGUUGUGAAGCAUACAACAUUCUCCGUAAAUCCAGUAACCUUAUAUUAAAUCUUUUCCAUCUCAUGGCCGGUUCCAACAUUCCUGACAUAGCAUCUGAUCCUGAAAAAGGCAUCCUCAAGCUCCAAGAGAAGUUCCGGUUGGACUUGGAUGAUGAGGCCUGCAUACAUUUCUUCCAGGAUCUUAUCAAUGAGAGUGUUAGUGCCUUGUUUCCUCAAAUGGUUGAGACUAUUCAUCGGUGGGCUCAAUACUGGCGCUGAUCUCAAAAUCAAGUUCAGGAUGUUGAAUACCUGUUUUAAAUACGUAGGGGUAUAUUUAGCUUGCCUCCUCUGCUCUCACCCCCACUUGGACUAACCCUUCAAUAUUUUGAGGUUGUGCCCAGUUAGUUCGUUGAGGUUUGAGGCAAAAAAGAUCUCACAGUGGAUGAAACUGACUGGGCUAUCAACCAAUGAUAAAAUCUGACAGGUUUAUGCCAGCUGGUGUGCUCUCUGCGACGGUCACUGAGGAGGACCAUUUCAAUCUCCAUAGGGGAUCAUCAAACAUGUGCAAUUCUUCAUCAUUCAAGAGAGCCAGUUUUGCUGAAGCAUCUGCAAUCCUAUUAUUCUCUCUAGGAACAUAUCUCAAAGUCCACUUUUCUUCAUUAGCUAGUAUUUGUUGAAUCCUCUUGAUUAGGGUAGAGCUUGAUCCUUCAAGUUUGCUGUUACUAAUAGCUACAACAAUCUUGAGAUUGUCAAAUUGGAUGGUGACCUCAUCGUAUCCUUGUUUGCGAUGUAUGAUUUUCAUGCCUUGGAUUUGUGCACAGGGGGUCCUAAUUUUGGUAAAGAUGUGGACACAUACUUUUUCCCACACCCAGAGCGUCUUAUAUUUAUUUAAACUCAGGUUAUGACUUUGUUGUGAAUUUGAAUCUUUAGAAAGUGUAAAGCUGAGAAAUGGAAAUAAAAUCUUAAUUUUAGUGA